AAGCCAGCGUCCUCCAAAGGGUAGGGGACCUGAUGCUGGUAAACCAGCCGCUUGCCAGUGGGAGGCCGGUGUCUGGGCCUGGGUGGAGGGGCUGAAACUAACCGGCAUUCACAGUUAAGACUGUAACCAAGAAGCAGUCAAAGACAGAUGCAAGGGAGAGCUAAGGCUGACUUGGGACAGACGUGAGCGGAAGAACUCAGCCCCACCUCACAGCAAGCCUCACAUAUUAGUGCAGCGUCUGCGUCUCAGAGGACCCAGCUCCACACAGAGGCAACCAGAGCCCUGGAGUGACCAGUCCCUGGGAGUUAGGAUCUGCUGACAGAACCAGACAAGAGCCUUCUGCUACCCAGAGGAAAGGGGGAGGUUCUAAGGAGACAGCCCAUUUUUGGAACGGAAAUGAGGUUGGAUGUGGACCCGGAGGGAAAGAGCUGAUGUCUGAUCCAGAGACAGCUCCAUGAAGGCUCCUGUAACUGAGGGUUCCUGGCUGCCUCAGGCCAGCCUUGAUGCAGAGGCGUAAGGAUCCCUCGCUUUGGUCUUAGAACUUGGUCUAUUCUCUGCUUAGUGGCGGCAAACUAUUUCUGAAUCCCAAGAACUCAUGGUUUAGAACUUUCUCCAUAGGACAGAAAAUAGGUUAACCAGGCAUGGUGGUGUGUAUCUAUAAUCCUGGAACUUAGGAAACUGAGGCAGGAGGAUUGCUGUGCACUUGAUGGUGUAAACUAUAUAUGAGCUUUUGCUUAGUUGAUCAAGAGGCAGCUUGAGUCUGACGCUCCUCACUCCACUUUGCCCCUUCUUUAAGACAUUUAAUAAUUUAAAUAAUUAUAAUUUUUAAUUUAGAUAAAUAGGCAUUUAUUUAAGGUGAGACAGCCGCAGAGCAAAUCGUUCUUUAAUGGUGAUUCUGGUUGAAGCAGCUUCAAAAGCACCCUAGACCGGGCACGUCCACAGAUCUCAACUACACGAUCACUUCUGUGCCCAUUCUUCUCUCGCUUCUCUUUCCUGAACAGCAUCUUCAGAUGUGGCUGAAGUAAGACUUAUCUCCUCGUAUCUCAUCCACUGUUCCUUAGGUAAGAGCGGAUGCCUCAUGGUCAGGUCCAGGGUCUCUUAAUGCGAAAAUCCUGUCAUUAUAGGGGUCCUCUGGAAGCCUCCUUUUGGUGGCUUUCACAUCUUCAGUCUCUAGUAUUGUAUAACCGCUCCCUAACCCAGUUUGUUGACUCCUGCAGCAUUGUAAUAGAUGCUUGAAUACCAUCCAACCUCACUUGGGCAACAGCCUACUGUUUUGACCACCUGAUUGCUCUUUUAACAGGAAAAGUUGAGUGUGCCAUGAAGUUUAAGAGCUUGGAGAAUUGCCGGGCAAAAGUGUCAUGAGAUUCCUCCUGAUUACCACAUUCAUGACUGCUUGAGUGGGUUUAAACAGCAGAGGAAUGAGGGAUGCCUUCUGGGAUUUCUCAAUCUGUGCUGCAUAGCCUGUUCCAUAGGGUGGUGUGAUCUGAUCGACGUGCAAGGACUCAGUACUGAGCAGGGAAAAGCGAUCGGAUGGGUCUAGAGCUCUCAGAAUGGGGAGACCUGUCACAGGAGGAAUGUCCUCAAGUCCAUGCAGACCCCUGCUGAUCACAGGCCUCCUCCAGAUUUCAGAAUUGCCCAAGGGAAUGGGAAACCAGCUCAUGUUCCUCUCUCUGCUUCUCAGGGACCACACUGUUGCCAUCCCAUUCCUGACCCCAUCCCAGGGUCUAAUUUUACAAAUCUGGAGUCCUUGUGCAACUGUUCAAAAGGCUCUUGGCUGAGAGCCAGCCAUGCCCUCCCUACUUACGCAGCUGAUCCAAUGCAAGUUGCUCCACCCUGGCCCAGUUCCUCACCCCUUUCUCCAAGGAAAGUGGGCAUCUCAGUGCAUCUCACUGGCUGGUACAGGGCAGAGAUGGACACGUGCCCUUCUGGAAAGGGUUAGACAGUCCUCAGAUGCAGACCAUGGAGGGAGUCACCUCUUUCCAGUGUCGGGUCCUUGGAUAGAAAUUCAUGUGAUAGAUUCACGGGUAUGACACACUUUUCCCUCACUGCCCUAAAGCUGGGCACGUUGAGUUAUGAAGGGGCUGAAUUGGUUGUCGUCUCUUUAUAAGGACACUUAAUGCUGGAGAUUUUGAUGGAGACCAACACCCUUAUGAGACAGGGUUGACUUCUGCUCCGGGCUAUUCCACAGUCAUCAGGGAAGAUUGAGAGAGGAGUCUUUUUCUCCACUCAUUAGAGCACAGCUCAAGGGGACACAAAGAAGGACCUGGGAGACCGCUGCUGAGCUGAUGGGGAGGAACACCUCUUACAUCCUGUCCCCAGCCUUGUCCCUACCCAAAUCCAUGUGGCCGCUUUUAGGAGCUUGCAGUGAAUGUCAGCUGAGACCCACCAUGAUGUUCCACAGCACCCUUUCCCCAGUCCCUCCACUGCCCUUUGAUCAGCUCUAUAGUAGGGUAUCUAGACAUCUCAUCCCAGGGUCCAUUUGACCCCAGUGCUGGCUUCUGUCUCCUGUUCCCCCUUCUACUUUAUCUGCACAGCACUCUCCCUUCUCUUUAAUUCCUGACUCAGUUCCUCACGGCUCAUGUGUCCUGGGCCCUGCAGAGGGAGGGGAAGGAGAGGAAGGUGGAAUACAGAGAGGGGAAGAGAAAGAGAAGAAGCUCAUCCUACUCCCUGUCCACCUGGGGAUCACAGCUUCCUAUCGCAGACCAGAGGCAGAGCCUGCUCUCAGUUGCCAUUGCCUUGUCUCUCUUCUGCCUAUGCCAGGAUGGGCCUUUGUCAUUGUUUCUAUCUUAAGAGUGGGACUAUCCUUUCCCAUGAAUGCUGUGGAAAAUCCCAAGGGACAGGAACUAUAAACACUGGGGAGCAGAGCCUGGGAUGACCUUGCCUACAGAAGCCCCACUUCCCCAAAUGGAACCCCGAGGAUCCUCACUGUCUUCAAUAUAGCACUCCCCCAGCCUCAGCCCAAGAAGCCUGAAGAGAGAUGCCAGGAGAAGACACAGAACACUGGCGUCCAGCUGCUGUUUCCGUAUAUGUCUUUGUGUCAUGGGUCUCAGGCCGGGGAGUGCUCUUCCAGGGUAUGCAUGGCUUUGUGGAGAGCAGGUGCUCAGAGGAAGUAGUAAAAUUGAAAUUUUGGUGUCUUUG